rnacentral:sRNA from 2 species
UCACAAAAACAGCCGAAUCCUGAAUUUCAGGUACGGGGGACUGCAAUACAUGGGGUGAAUCGCCAUCCGGCAUCGCCGGGGCGUAGGGACUGUUCUUCCACCGAACCCGUCAACUAACCUCGGAGGCUUUAGGAGGAAUUUGA